rnacentral:lncRNA from 1 species
AGUAGUUCUUCUUGACUUGUCCCCUCCAGGAUACAACAGCCUAAUCACAAUAUAUAACUCAACAACUCUGGACAAGAGUUGAGUCCAAAGCUCCACAAAAAAGAACACCUCCCUUCAACUAAUAAGAACUCUCUUUUUGACAAACUUUUUCCUCUCUAUCUUUUUCUUAUGUGUUGUAUAUCUCACAAACCAAAUGAAGACC